rnacentral:lncRNA from 1 species
UAAGUUAUUCAAUUAGAAAUUGUACUUAUAUUUAUUUUUUGUGACAUGGCCUUUUUCCUGUCCCUGAAAAGGAUUGAUCCACCUGCACAACUGUCCCAAGGAGCCCAUGGUCCCCAUCUAUGUAAUUGUGGGAUCUGCAUUCUUCCUGGUCUUAACGCUAUUUGUGUUGUGUGGGCAUGGUACAUUGUGCUUCGAAGCCAGUAUUUCGAUCCUCGUCUUUCUCUUCUGCUGGCUGAUUGCAGGUAGUGUGUUCGUCUACGGAGCAUUUCAACCCGACUUUGAGUCCAUACACUCUCUGGAAUAUUGUGAGAAGAUUCUCUAUCAGGCUGCAUUCUGGUGUACCAACCUGGCAUGGGUGUGCAUAGUGAUACUUGGAAUGUAUGGGUUGUGCUUUCUCUUAUGCACUAUAUCCUGUGACAAAAACAGGGGUUACAGUGAAAUGGGGGAGAAUCCUCCCCCUCAAGAUUAGAAUUUACUUCAUCAUAAAGUUUCCCUAGUGCAGGCAAAACUUAGUAUUUUUGAACAUUUCAGAACAGAAAAACUAUGUGGAGACCUCCUCCAGCUACUGUCUGACGGACCUGUGAUUCCACAGCUGCUCUUUGUUGUACCAAUUACACUGCCACGGCAACAAUCCAUUGUGACCACAUUAAGUUACCAAAGUGGAUGUAUCCAAACACCAAGUAAUUCAUUUGACAGUAACAGUGUUUCAUACAGUAUUUACGCUGUAUAUCUGCCUCAGUAUGCGGAUAUGGACACUGUAACAAAAGAAAGACGUGUUAGUGUUUUGACGUAUAUUUUCUCUGCUGGCCAGAGUAAAGCACUAGAUAUUCCUAUUGCUACGGUGUUGAUAUCAGGUCCCACUGCAUUAACUUUCGGUACUGAACAUAGGCCAAGUUUAUGUUGAGUUUUGUUUAAAUUUGAAUAUGUUUUUAGCCAUUUAUCUCAAUAAAACCAUUGCUUAAGUGGAG